rnacentral:rRNA from 1 species
UACGUAGGGUCCGAGCGUUGUCCGGAAUUAUUGGGCGUAAAGGGCUCGUAGGCGGUCUGUUGCGUCGGGAGUGAAAACUUACAGCUUAACUGUGAGCGUGCUUUCGAUACGGGCAGACUUGAGGCAUUCAGGGGAGAACGGAAUUCCUGGUGUAGCGGUGAAAUGCGCAGAUAUCAGGAGGAACACCGGUGGCGAAGGCGGCAUCCCGGACCGGUAUUGACGCUGAGGAGCGAAAGCCAGGGGAGCAAACGGG